rnacentral:lncRNA from 1 species
CAAAACAUUUUUUUUUCAUUUAAAAUAAUCGUUUAAUUCUUAAAAACAUUUUGUUUUUAAAUCUCAUUCAUAAUCGUAUUACACAACAUAACUCCAUUUCCACUUGCAUGAUAAACCAGGAUCCUCAAAACAUGACUCAUUCUCUGGUGUGUACAAUCGAGUCGGUGCCGUCCCGUGAUACUGUGAUAACCUGAAACACACAACACAAAACACUGUAAGCAUGAAGCUUAGUGAGUUCCACAAACUACCGCAUACAACACAUACGCCACUCGAGGCUACAGUACGACCCUCCAGUCGGUGUGUCUCAGCAGGACCCUCCAGUCCCGUAGCUCGUUGGACCCUCUGGUCCGGUCAUAGCUCGUUGGGCCCUCUGGCCCGAUCUGAAUCAUUAGACCCACCGGUCCGGUCUAUAACUCCGCAUAGCAUAAAUCACAAAGACAUAAUGCAUAGCAUGUCACAUACAAUAGGAUAACAUAAUACUCAAUGUAAGCACAUACGACCUUCCGGUCACACAAUACUACCACUCAAGGUAACGUAGAGUGAGAAGACUCACCUGGCAAGCAGAAAGCAGAUAUCCCCACACUUGAAUCUCGAACUCGCCACCGCCUAACACGUAAGACAUAUACUCUCAUGAAUAUAACUCUUGAGACUAGGAUCAACCCUCUCAUGGCACCCUCUUAAGGGUAAAAGACUAUUUUACCCCUCUCUUGGCCAAAAGGCCACAUCGCUGACCAAGCCCUAAAAGUCAACGGUCAACUCAUGGUCAGAGUCAAAGUCCUCAGUCAAAGUCAACCCUCCUGGUUGACCCUGCUCGCCGAGUCAACCCGUCGACUCGUCGAGUCCCCAUGCUCAGAACUUCCCCAGUCCGCGACUCAACUCGCCGAGUUCCACAACUCUGAGUCCACUCGCACACAACUCACCGAGUCAUCCCUUGACUCGCCGAUUCUCGACUCAACCAGAAAAUAUUGGGACUCUUCGACAAGACUCGCCGAGUCCAACAACAGACUCGCCGAGUCUAAGGCUAUCUUCAACCUACUCGCCGAGUUGUUCAUACAACUCGCCGAGUUCCAGGCCAUCUUCAUCCAACUCGCCGAGUUGUUCUUCCAACUCGUCGAGUUCCAGCUCAUCUUCAAGCAACUCGUCGAGUACACCCAUGUGACUCGCCGAGUACCACCGGUCUGAAUCCAUUCAGAAGCAUUCCAGGCCAUGCAAUUGCUCCAAAACAUAGAUCUAGCCUCCUACAACUCAUCCAUCACGUAAAGUGGCAAACUUUACGUGAAUCCAAAGAGAUCUAUGCAUUUUGCACAUUAGGGCUAAGGUUUGGGACAUGAUAGCUUCAUCCAACACUCAACACAGGGACUUUCAUGCAUUCCAACUCUUCUCCAUUCCAGAUCUGAGGUAGCAACCUCAGAUCUAACCUCUAAACUCCAACACAUCCAAAUAUAUAAUCUCUAAUACCCCCAAAAUGAUGCAUCAAGGAAAUAGCAGCUCAAAGACGAGAUAUUACCUCAAAAGAACGCCCCAACUGCAAUGAAACUUGAAUCCAAGCAUAGCCCCUUGCUCCAAGCCUCUCCUUCUCUAAGAUCUCUUCAAUAACCACCUCUCCAAGCUCUAAUUUUCUCAACAAUGGUGCUUCUCCACAAUUUUAGGGUUUCUGGGACUCAAGGGGUGAUAAAGAGGCUAGGAGGAAAGCAUAAUGUUCUUUAUAUAGGGCUCAACCCUGAGAAUUAGGGNUCGCCGAGUCCACACAUGGACUCUCCGAGUUGCUCUUUCCCAAUUUACUCUUUUAGCCCUUCCACUCUGCUUUUGAUAUUUCGGUAUGUUACAAUUCUCCCCCACUUAAAUUAGGCUUCGUCCUCGAAGCCUACAACAAUUCAAUCCCAAAGAUACUCCCACAACGCGCCACCUGGCCUUAACCGGGCCAAGUCCCUCAAGGCAUACCCAUCGAAACUCAAACACACUUUCUCUUUCCUUACGGUGUCCUGAUCACCGUCUCGAGUCGGGCACCAGUUGUACCCUCUGAUAAUCACACUCAACUACUGAGAAUUACCCAUGAAGCAUCACUACCUCAAAUCCCAACAAUCACUCGACCCAUAAGGGCUAGAAAGCCAUGAACCAUCGGAUCCCCGAUCCAAAUCCCACUCUAUCCAUUCCGUGCUGACAGAAAGACCCACUCUUCAAUCUCAGAGCAACUCCCUUGAGUUCUCCUCUUGCAAUCACAUACGCAUGCUGAACUUGCUCCAACACCCUCAGGUUGGGAAAACUCGAUACACUGAUGAUAUCUUCCAACAUCCCCCAGGAUGAACCACUAGUACAUAUCUAAUACCCUGAUCAGAAUCAAGCUGGGAGUCCCAGACUCCCUCCCUACAUCCAUUCUGAGACUCUUGGCUCUACACUCGCGGAAUCCCUUCCGCGUCCUCAGCAGACAUCCCAUCAUGAUGUCAUUCCAUACCACUGUCACAGACACAGUGUUCAACCACCAUACUCCAAAUCAUCCAUUCUCACUACUGCUUUCACUUCCGUGGACCAACACUUCCCCCCCUCCUCCCGGGGGUUACAUACCUUUCUCUUCCCUUACCCAGGGAAAUCCACUUGUCAACCUUGCCACUACACCAUGUAUCGCACCUGCUCUAGAUCUGCUCGCAAGGGCUCUUGGGUCCAUGCGCUACCUCUCCCCAGCAAAUGAGGGUCCGACACCUCCUCCCACACAACAGCUCAAAGGGUGGCAUACCAAUGCACUAAUGAUGGCUAUUGAUACAGGAUAACUCAACCAAGGAUAAAUACGUGCCGCAACUCCCUCCGAAAUCUAAUACACAUGCCCGAAGCAUGUCUUCGAGCGUCUGAAUCGUUCGCUCGCUCUGAAGUGUCCUCAGACAUCAUCAUGAUAAGCUCUAGCUCAUUUCUCAUAUCCCUCUUCGAGACUGAGCACCAGGUCAGCUUUUGACUCCACAGCUGAGCCUCCAAAGGUCACCCAUAUCAUGAUCCAAAUAUCCCACUAACUUCCUCCCCGUCACCACUAUCCCGGCCCAGGGACACGCAAGUCACAAAAUUCUCUUUUCCUCAUGCGAGAAAAUACAAUCCAACUGAGGAUCGUCUUAAUUCUGAUCUCUGGUUUCUGCUGUGCAUAUCUCUUGCGCAUCUCGUCGCAUCUCCCGACAGAGACGGACACCAGUCUCGCCCCCGGUUCAACACCCAGGCUCCAAAAACUCAAUACUAGGGCUUCUCAAGCCCAAAACUCUUCCACAUCAUACACUGAUCGGAGAACAUUCCAUCAUCACAUUCUCUUGCCAUCUAGUGAGUACUACGGCUCCCCGCAGUAUCACAACACCCUCUGACUAGUGAGUACUACGGCUCCCCGCAGUAUCACAACACCCUCUGACUAGUGAGUACUACGGCUCCCCGCAGUAUCACAACACCCUCUGACUAGUGAGUACUACGGCUCACUGCAGUAUCACAACACCCUCUGACUAGUGAGUACUACGGCUCCCCGCAGUAUCACAACACUCUCUGACCCCACUAGCUCAUGCUCCGCAAACUAUCAUAAGCAGCUACCCAUACUCGACUCGAAUAAGCAUCACAGACUCUGGAGACAAUCGGCAUAUCAAAAUGCCCACCCUUGCGAAGAUCCACUUUCUCAAAUAAUCUCCCUGGAUGCCCAUACUCGAAGGGCUCCCAUUAGAUCCAUAGAUACCUGAUAUACCACAAGUUGUCUUAACUCCAGAUUCACGAGUAACCCGAAAUAAAGAUAUCAUACCCGGAUACCUCGGAAUAUCCCAACAGAAUCAUCACAAGAUCCUGCCACAACCACUGAUCUCCUGCCCCCGAGCAUCAUAUAGAUACAAUAAUACAUUUCCUCUGAACCCCAUAAUUAGAUCUACAUUUUUUCCAAAAUGCAACUUCGGUGUAUCCAAUUUCUCAAUUGGAAUACGAGAAAACGCUAGCGCUAUGAAAUACGCUGAUAAUUCUCCGAAACCCUUUUUUCCCACCGCUCAAAAUCGAAGCAAGGAUACGCAUACCGACCCGGGAGUUGGCUGCCCAAUCAUUCUCUAACAACACUGACCACUACCAGGUUCCUGAUCAUUAGUCACCUUCCGUGGAGACAUUCAUCCUUCUCAAACAAGUACCUCCCGCAUUAACUCACUCUGACCCCCUUCCCUCGAUCACCGACAUCUCUGGUCUCAUGAUUUCUUACCGCAGAUCUCUAUACUCCACUUAUAACUGCUCUUGACAAAUCUCUGCUUUCUUACAUACGGUACCCGGUUCUCCCCCACUCAGGGUUCGAACCAUCACCAAUUAGCACACAACCAACCCACAACUAUUUUCACCAGCAAAAUCGCACCUGCCCCUGGAAAGUGCUACACAACGCUCGAUAAUCCCCUUUAAGGAAAUCAAUCGAUCUCAUAUACUCUGAACCUCUGAUGGACUCCUCAAAAACUUCUCGACACGACUGCCCCUAGUCGUUCCAAAUCUCGUACCAAUCUAGCACCAAACAACUCUACUGCUCAAUAACAUCUCUGGCUCAUAGAANCUCAUAGACUGAACCACAAAAUCAUCGUACCCCUCACCUCAACUCAUCAAACAUCGCUCCAACACCGGGAUCAUCCCAAGAACAAAGACCCACUCCCAUAUUCAAUACCCAACAUAGAUAGAAAACUCUCUGCACUGCUAAACUCGACUGAACUCCCCACUGAUACCAUUACAAUACAUCCUGCUAUACUCAAAUAGGCAUAAUGUGGUCCUCGACUAUCUCAGUCCCAACUGACUAUGUGAUCAUGAUAAAUCACUGCCUCGCGGCACACAUGCUACCUGAUACUCUGAUGGAAAAUCAUCAUCAAUGACAACCUGCAGGGUUUACCCCCAAACCCAAAACUUAAACAUCAUGCCUCUCAUGUUCCGCACACGAACAUAAAUAGCACCACCCAGGUCAUAGAAGGUGACAUCUCCUCUAUCGACUGAUUGCUCAACUCAGACCGAAAUUCUCCCCUCCCUCUGACUCCUUACCAAAAUACUCUGAAAGGCUCUCGACCUCCCUCUCAAGGGACGCCUCUUCGAACUCAAUCAUGGCCCACAGGCCUAAAACCCAUAGCGUCCAAUCUCUACCUCAUCAAUCGUGACCGGAUAACCGGAGAACCACAAGCAUCAUUCACUACGAACCAUGGUACUCAUCCCAUGACAUCUCUUCUCAAUAUGCUCCGGUGUAUGGUACCCGAACCAUAACAUCACUCCUCCAUCCGCUCCGAUGUAUGGUACUCGAACCAUAACAUCACUCCUCGAUCCGCUCCGAUGUAUGGUACUCGAACCAUAACAUCACUCCUCAAUCCGCUCCGAUGUAUGGUACUCGAACCAUAACAUCACUCCUCAAUCUGCUCCGAUGUAUGGUACUCGAACCAUAACAUCACUCCUCAAUCCGCUCCGAUGUAUGGUACUCGAACCAUAACAUCACUCCUCAAUCCGCUCCGAUGUAUGGUACUCGAACCAUAACAUCACUCCUCAAUCUGCUCCGAUGUAUGGUACUCGAACCAUAACAUCACUCCUCAAUCCGCUCCGAUGUAUGGUACUCGAACCAUAACAUCACUCCUCAAUCCGCUCCGAUGUAUGGUACUCGAACCAUAACAUCACUCCUCAAUCCGCUCCGAUGUAUGGUACUCGAACCAUAACAUCACUCCUCAAUCCGCUCCGAUGUAUGGUACUCGAACCAUAACAUCACUCCUCAAUCUGCUCCGAUGUAUGGUACUCGAACCAUAACAUCACUCCUCAAUCUGCUCCGAUGUAUGGUACUCGAACCAUAACAUCACUCCUCAAUACGCUCAUUAGAAUCUUCAGAAUACUCCCUGUAUCAAGUAUGGGUCCUCUGCUUUCAGUAGUACGGGCCCAUACUACCUGCCACAUCUACCCAUACUUUCCACACGGACUAUCCCGGAGCUCCUAAGUAGCUGCUCGACCUUCUCGUUCACCAAUUCCGUCGCGCGCUCGCUCCCCAGCGAAAUUCUCUACUCUGCCAGUGCACUCAUCUGGCUAAGGUUACUCCCUAGGCUCUUCCUAGAUUCCCACACUUCUCUGCCAUCAGCUGCUGAAGAGCUCCUAAUGAUGCCAGCCAUCUACCUCCUGAAUAUCGUCAUAUUCGCUUGGUAGCUGACUCCCAUCAUCGAGAGUUCCACAAAGCACGAAGCAAGCAGCAUUCGAGCAUCGAAGAAUAUAUAUGACUCACUCUGGGUGAUAACUCCGCUUGCUCUGCUCAUCCUCGAAAGUACCACCGAACUCUGCAACUCUUCCCCUCGCGGGUUCUAACUAUUCUUUCGCUAAGUACCACGGUACUUAUCUAGGUAUCUCCCCUAGAUUACUCCUCUACUCAAAUCCCCUAAAGGAUUCCAACUAAAUAUUCUCACUCAUCACAUACUCAAAAGCACAUCGCAUAUCACAGCAAUUCCUAGGCUAAGGCAUCACAAAUCAGGCCACUCUAGUCCUAAGAUAUGGAAUACCUAGCCUGUCUCUAGCAUGCAAUAAUAUCUCAUAAAGUGCAUCAUAAAUAUCUCAUAACACAAAAGUAAGGGUAUUUUGGGAAAUCACCGUUCGGGCUCUGGCUGAUUGUACACACUCCUCUUUCUCGCUUUCUCUUUGAACUCUUAUUCACUUUUAGAAAUUCAUUUCUUUUGAAACCUUUUCUUACUUCCUCAGCUUCAGUCCAGAUUUACCCGAAGGCGCAUCCGAAUCCCUCAAACCAAGGCUCUGAUACCAACUUGUAACACCGAAAAUUUCAAAACAAUUUUUUUCAUUUAAAAUAAUCGUUUAAUUCUUAAAAACAUUUUGUUUUUAAAUCUCAUUCAUAAUCGUAUUACACAACAAAACUCCAUUUCCACUUGCAUGAUAAACCAGGAUCCUCAAAACAUGACUCAUUCUGUGGUGUGUACAAUCGAGUCGGUGCCGUCCCGUGAUACUGUGAUAACCUGAAACACACAACACAAAACACUGUAAGCAAGAAGCUUAGUGAGUUCCCCAAACUACCGCAUACAACACAUACGCCACUCGAGGCUACAGUACGACCCUCCAGUCGGUGUGUCUCAGCGGGACCCUCCAGUCCCGUAGCUCGUUGGACCCUCUGGUCCGGUCAUAGCUCGUUGGGCCCUCUGGCCCGAUCUGAAUCGUUGGACCCACCGGUCCGGUCUAUAACUCCGCAUAGCAUAAAUCACAAAGACAUAAUGCAUAGCAUGUCACAUACAAUAGGAUAACAUAAUACUCAAUGUAAGCACAUACGACCUUCCGGUCACACAAUACUACCACUCAAGGUAACGUAGAGUGAGAAGACUCACCUGGCAAGCAGAAAGCAGAUAUCCCCACACUUGAAUCUUGAACUCGC